rnacentral:ncRNA from 1 species
UAAAUAAAUUUUUUAUGUUUUAUGAAUUUUAUUAUAAAUUUAUUUUACAUAUAAAUUUUAGUGUUAUAUUUUAAUUAUUUAAAUAAUAAUUAAUUAUUUAAGUAGUAAUUGAUAUUAAAAAUUUAAGUAAUUAAGAUUUAGUAAUAUAAAAAUUAAUAACUAAUUUUGUGCCAGCAGUUGCGGUUAUACAAAAAUUAAAUUAAAUUAUUUCAGUUUAUAAUAAAUAAUUUUAAUUUAAAAUAAAUAUUAAAUUAUUAAGUGAAAUUUUAAUUUAAAUAAAUUUUAUUUUUAAAUUAUGAUUUAAUAAAUUUUAAUUUAAACUAGGAUUAGAUACCCUAUUAUUAAAAAUUAAUUUAUAAUACUAAAAUAGUAAAUAAUUAUUUAUUGAAACUUGAAUAAUAUGGCGGUAUUUUAGUUCAUUUAGAGGAAUCUGUCUAAUAAUUGAUAUUCCACGAAUAAAUUUACUUAAUUUUAUAUUUUGUAUAUCAUUGUUAAAAAAAUAUUUUUAAAUGAAAAUAAUAUUUAAAUUUUUAAAUAAAAAAUUAGUUCAGAUCAAGAUGCAGAUUAUAAUUAAGAAUAUGAUGGAUUACAAUAAAAAUAUUUAAAUGAAUGAUAUUAUUUAAAUUUAAAUUUGAAAGUGGAUUUAAAUGUAAUUUUAAUUAGUUUAUUAAAAUGAUUAAAAAUUAAAAUAUGUACAUAUUGCCCGUCACUUUCAUUUUAAAGUUGAAAUAAGUCGUAACAAAGUAGAUGUACUGGAAAGUGUAUCUAGAAA